rnacentral:lncRNA from 10 species
GAAGGGGCUCUUCGAGUAAACUUGUUGGGAAUUAAGAUGUGCUGCUCUCAUCGCCUGGGUGUUACUUCAGUUGGAGAAAAAAGAGGCUUCACCAUUUGUCUUUGUGCAGUGUUAUCCUCAGCAAAGAGGACUGGAAACGUGGUACAUGGGAGGAGGGAGCCAGGGAUGCGAGUGGCCAGCCACGCCCAGGGAGGGGGAGCGAGGCACAGGGAUGUCUCCAGACAAAACCCCUAAAUCACAUGGAAUCAGAUACACAUAUUCUCUCUCUCUCUCUUUUUCACAUUCUCUCUCUCUCUCUGUCACUGAGCUAUUUUUCACUCAGCAUUCAGAGCCUGUGGUAUGUGUGGAUACGAAGUAGGGCUUCAGGUCUUCAUAGGUCUAAAGUCCAUAAUGCUGUCUCUAGUGCCCUCCCUUUAAAAUGUAUUUUAUAGCCUUUUAUUUGUCUUUACCAACGAAUGGAAAAGCAAUGAAGUCAGACUUUUUUGGGAUUUGCUGCAUCUAACCGGUGCCCUUGCCCUCUCCAGAGGCCUCCCUUUCCCUGGUGCGAGAGGCAUGUGCAGGGCCUGGUAAGAAAAGGAGCCUUAGACACUGACUCCAGGGGUCCCUAGCCAGCCUCAUGGGCUUUGUGACAAUCCUAACACUUAAUGGUGUGUUCUACUCUGACUUCCAAGUUCUCUUUUCUUAAAUAUGUGUCUUAUCUAGGGUGACCGUGUGACUUUUAGCCUCCAAACCAUGACAUUCUUAAGAGUGAAAGGAGGUGGGAAUAAUAAUUACUCUGGGACAAUGUGUGUAAACUGGGACCGUGGCAGGCAAGCAGCGAAGUAUAGUCACUCUUAUCUUUCAGAGUAAAUUGGGAACUUUUUCCAUGAAGGGGCCCAGUCUGUCUAUCUGUGAUAAGAUAUACUUGGGCUUUGUCCCCAAGAGAUGAGUGUCUUUUGUGUGCCAAUGAGAUGUCCGGUGGCUGGGGGUCCCUAGUUAGCUUCAGGAUGGGGGCUGCUCUCCAGAAAGACCAAGGCAGGAGUAGAGGAUUGGAACUUUCAGCCCUAUCCUGGACCUCCUGGGAAGAGAGAGGGGCUGGAGAUAGAGUCAAUCACCAAUGGCUAAUGAUUUAAUCAAUCAUGUCUAGGUAAUGGGAUCUCCAUUAAAAACUGAACAGUGAGGUUCAGAGAGCUUCUGAGUUGCUGAAUACGUUGAGGUCCUGGGAGGGUGGCAUUCCAGAGAGAGCGUGGAAGCUCCACACCGCCCCCUAGUACCUUGUCCUU